rnacentral:rRNA from 1 species
UAGUUAUGUUCUUUAAAUUCAAUGAAUUUGGCGGUGUUUUAGUCUUUUUAGAGGAGCUUGCUUUUUAAUCGAUAAUCCUCGUUUUAUUUUACUUAUUUUAUUUAGUUUGUAUAUCGCCGUUAUAAGUUUAUUUUUUUAGAAUUAUAAAUUUACUAUUUAUUUUAUUUGAUUUUAUUUCAGGUCAAGGUGCAGCUUAUAAAUAAGGUUGAGUUAGCUACAAUAAUAUUUAAUUAUAUGGAUUUUGAAUUAAGUUAUUUUUAUGAAGGUGGAUUUAAUUGUAAAUUUUUUAAUAUAUUUGUUUUGAUUUAUAGCUCUAAGAUGAGUACACAUCGCCCGUCGCUCUA